AUCACUAGUCCCAGACCCUGCAGUUGGUAAACCUUCAUGCUCAUCUGUAAAUACAGAGCAAUAUUUUCCAACUGUAUUCCUCUGAACAUUGAACAAGUUUUAAGGUAGGUGGUGGGAGGAGCGUCCCCUUCAAUCAUUUAUUUAUUCAACUAAAACUUACUGACUGCCAUCUGCUCUGGUCCAGGGACAAGGAAUAGAGCAGGGAACAAGAUGGUGAUGUCCUUCCUUUGUGGAGUUUAUAAGCCAGUGGAGGAGACAGGGAAGUGAAUAUACAUAUGCGAUGAUUUCAGAUCAUAAUAGCGGCUCUGAAGAAGGAAACCUUCCAAGGGAGUUUCAUCUCCUGGCCAGGCCCCAGCCCAACUUCACUUCAGGGAGAGAUGCUGUCAUCAGGCUGGGGGAAGGUGGCAAAGAAAGACUGAGGCUGGUUUUUAAGAUUAGUACUGGUGAUCCAAGGCUGGACGUCAGGAACUGACCAAAUGCCCACAAAGAGAGGCAAGAAGUCAAAACAUCAGCAGAGGCCACGUCCACAGGCGGUGACCAGACGCGUUGUCCUCUGCCUUUCCAGUUCAGCUCUGUCACCAACCAGCGCGUGACAGUCAAGAGAGGAGUGAAAAAUGGCACAAAGGGACUGGCCAAACCGUUCAUUUAUCUUCUUGACCAACAACAAGAUUCAGAAGGCCAAGCCCAGGGUCUAUUAAUACCCUGAGCCUCACAUGACCAGCACAAAGCAAGAUGAAAGAAAACAAAAGUCUUGAGUCGGCUCUGGGAAGGGUAGUGACUCAUCAUGGGGUGGGAGGAGGGCGGGCAGAGCUCUGCCUGAAAUCCAUCCAAAACCCCCAUUUCAUGUGACUACCAUCUCACGAGGGCAUCAGUUUCAAUCUUGUCUAAAAAUGCACCAAUCACAAGGACACAAAAAUUCUCAAGGCUGUGACUAUGCAUUUGAGAGGAAACAAAAAAGCCCUUUGGUCUGACUGAGAUGAUCUUUGACUAAGGAAGAGAAAGAUACAGAAGCAAAACUCGAUCAACUGUCAGGAGAAUGACACGUCAACCACCUUCUGUUUAUUCCGGUGUCAAGAGAAAGUCCUUCUUUUCACUGUCCGGCAGCCUUGGGGUCAGGAGAGAGAACCCCAAAAUAGGAGGAGACCCAGAUGCUCUAGCUGGGUGACCUUUACAGUUGUCAUUCACUUAGCAAGUAUUUUCUGCAUGCCCAUUCUAUCGUAGUGUUGUGAUAGGUGAUGCGGAUAAAGACACACGAUCCCUAGACUCACUGAGUUUACCAUCUAGUCUGUGGUGUAAGUCAUUUAACCUCCCAGAACCCCAGUUUCUUCAUUUCUAAAGUGGAAAUAAAAAAAGACUACCUACUUCA